UCCCUGGUGGUCUAGUGGUUAAGACUGCAAGCUACAACUGCAGGGGGCACAGGUUCAAUCCCUGCUCAGGGAA
rnacentral:tRNA from 1 species